rnacentral:rRNA from 1 species
GGGACGAAGGCGACCGCCGCGUGUGGGAAGAAGGCCUUCGGGUUGUAAACCACUGUCGGGAGUUAGGAAAUGUAAGGGUGCUAAUAGUAUCCUUACUUGACUAAGGCUCCGGAGGAGGCCACGGCUAACUCUGUGCCAGCAGCCGCGGUAAUACAGAGGCGGCAAGCGUUGUUCGGAAUUAUUGGGCGUAAAGAGCACGUAGGCGGCCUUGUAAGUCAGUUGUGAAAGCCUUCUGCUUAACGGAAGAACAGCAGCUGAUACUGCAAGGCUAGAGUGCGGAAGGGGAGAGUGGAACUUCUGGUGGAGCGGUGAAAUGCGUAGAUAUCAGAAGGAACACCGGCGGCGAAGGCGACUCUCUGGUCCGUAACUGACGCUGAGUGUGCGAAAGCUAGGGGAGCAAACGGGAUUAGAUACCCCGGUAGUCCUAGCCGUAAACGAU